GACGAACGCUGGCGGCGCGCCUAACACAUGCAAGUCGAACGAGCGAGAGAGAGCUUGCUUUCUCAAGCGAGUGGCGAACGGGUGAGUAACGCGUGAGGAACCUGCCUCAAAGAGGGGGACAACAGUUGGAAACGACUGCUAAUACCGCAUAAGCCCACGGCUCGGCAUCGAGCAGAGGGAAAAGGAGCAAUCCGCUUUGAGAUGGCCUCGCGUCCGAUUAGCUAGUUGGUGAGGUAAUGGCCCACCAAGGCGACGAUCGGUAGCCGGACUGAGAGGUUGAACGGCCACAUUGGGACUGAGACACGGCCCACACUCCUACGGGAGGCAGCAGUGGGGAAUAUUGCACAAUGGGGGAAACCCUGAUGCAACGACGCCGCGUGGAGGAAGAAGGUCUUCGGAUUGUAAACUCCUGUUGUUGAGGAAGAUAAUGACGGUACUCAACAAGGAAGUGACGGCUAACUACGUGCCAGCAGCCGCGGUAAAACGUAGGUCACAAGCGUUGUCCGGAAUUACUGGGUGUAAAGGGAGCGCAGGCGGGAAGACAAGUUGGAAGUGAAAUCCAUGGGCUCAACCCAUGAACUGCUUUCAAAACUGUUUUUCUUGAGUAGUGCAGAGGUAGGCGGAAUUCCCGGUGUAGCGGUGGAAUGCGUAGAUAUCGGGAGGAACACCAGUGGCGAAGGCGGCCUACUGGGCACCAACUGACGCUGAGGCUCGAAAGUGUGGGUAGCAAACAGGAUUAGAUACCCUGGUAGUCCACACUGUAAACGAUGAUUACUAGGUGUUGGAGGAUUGACCCCUUCAGUGCCGCAGUUAACACAAUAAGUAAUCCACCUGGGGAGUACGACCGCAAGGUUGAAACUCAAAGGAAUUGACGGGGGCCCGCACAAGCAGUGGAGUAUGUGGUUUAAUUCGACGCAACGCGAAGAACCUUACCAAGUCUUGACAUCCCUUGACGAUGCUGGAAACAGUAUUUCUCUUCGGAGCAAGGAGACAGGUGGUGCAUGGUUGUCGUCAGCUCGUGUCGUGAGAUGUUGGGUUAAGUCCCGCAACGAGCGCAACCCUUAUGGUCAGUUACUACGCAAGAGGACUCUGGCCAGACUGCCGUUGACAAAACGGAGGAAGGUGGGGAUGACGUCAAAUCAUCAUGCCCUUUAUGACUUGGGCUACACACGUACUACAAUGGCGUUAAACAAAGAGAAGCAAGACCGCGAGGUGGAGCAAAACUCAGAAACAACGUCCCAGUUCGGACUGCAGGCUGCAACUCGCCUGCACGAAGUCGGAAUUGCUAGUAAUCGCAGAUCAGCAUGCUGCGGUGAAUACGUUCCCGGGCCUU
rnacentral:rRNA from 1 species